rnacentral:rRNA from 1 species
UACGUAGGGGGCAAGCGUUGUCCGGACUUACUGGGCGUAAAGCGCGCGCAGGCGGAUGGGUAUGUGCCGUGUGAAAGCGCUGUCCUUACGAUGGCGAGGUCAUGGUAGACAGCCCGUCUAGAGGCUCGAAGAGGUCGGUGGAAUUCCGGGUGGAGCGGUGAAAUGGCGUAGAUAUCCGGAGGAACACCAGGGGCGAAAGCGGCCGACUGGUCGAGUACUGACGCUGAGGCGCGACGGCGUGGGGAGCAAACCGGAUU